CACGUAGGGCGCAAGCGUUGUCCGGAAUUAUUGGGCGUAAAGAGCUCGUAGGUGGUCUGUUGCGUCCGCUGUGAAAACUCGAGGCUCAACCUCGAGACGCCGGUGGAAACCAUCAGACUAGAGUCCGGAAGAGGAGAGUGGAAUUCCUGGUGUAGCGGUGAAAUGCGCAGAUAUCAGGAAGAACACCCGUGGCUAAGGCGGCUCUCUAGUACGGUACUGACGCUGAGACGCGAAAGCGUGGGGAGCGAACAGG
rnacentral:rRNA from 1 species